rnacentral:rRNA from 1 species
UACGUAGGGGGCUAGCGUUGUCCGGAAUCAUUGGGCGUAAAGCGCGUGUAGGCGGUCCGGUAAGUCCGCUGUGAAAGUCGGGGGCUCAACCCUCGGAUGCCGGUGGAUACUGUCGGGCUUGAGUACGGAAGAGGCGAGUGGAAUUCCUGGUGUAGCGGUGAAAUGCGCAGAUAUCAGGAGGAACACCAAUUGCGAAGGCAGCAUCCUGGACCGGUAUUGACGCUGAGGAGCGAAAGCCAGGGGAGCAAACGGG